rnacentral:lncRNA from 1 species
UCGCUCCCUCCCCAUGCCCCAUGCAGGAAGCUUAUUUUCACCCAGGCCUGGUGAGGAGCAGGUGGAGCCAUGAGGAGCAGGUGGAUUCGGGCCCUCGGGCAUGCAGGAAUGAGGCAGGCCACGCUCUGGAGAUGUUGAGAUGUCGGGGACCCACUUUAUUGCAGCCCCAGGAACCAUGCACUCUAACCCGGGGCACAGACGAGUGGUGGUCACAGUUCCACUUGAACAAGUUCUCUGUCGUCCUGCCAGGCCGGGCUCUGGACAGAAUCCAGCACAGCUGUACUUUCCCUCAGGUCUCAGGAAAAUGUAGUUCUCAGUGUCCCCCUGCCAGUGCUGCAGCUCCAAGUAGCUGCCAGUCCCCUUUCCUGUGCCCCAAACCCACCCACUGAGGAAAGGGGUAUCAGGUGGGUAGAGCAACAAAGCGAACUUGGCCUCAGCCAGGUCUUCGCCACCAAACAGUAACUUCCCACCACUCACUAGUCACCUGACACGGUCGGGUCUUCAGUACAAGCUACACUCAGCAUCCCACUCCAGGAGGCCCACAGAGGUCAGGACAGGAAAAGAGCCUGGUUGGGGGGAUGCCUAUGGAAGGCCCCAACCUGAGCUCUGAGCAACAGGCCAAGCCCAGAACCAAGAAAUCUGGUGAGAUGCAUCACAUUCGCUUGCCCUUCCAAAGAUUAUACCCACUAACAGGGAAGGAUGCCAAUCAAAUAAAUACAGUCAAUAAAUAUGUGAGAUUGGCUUAUUCCCCUAGGAGGCAACGUGGCAGAAUGAGGGACCCAGAUUAGCUCUGGGACUGUAGGCAAACAUCCAAGAUCUCAGCCUCAGCUCUCCUGGGAUGCAUGAGGGGGUGGGCUGGAGGGUCCCUGGGUUCCCUCUGGUCUGACCCCCACAUUUUGCCUCCCAGCCUUGGUCAGGCCACGUGCGCCUCCAUCCCUCACCAUCUCCAGUCCACUCUGGAGAAGACAGGUGUGGUGCUGGCCUCUGGAGCCAGGGUGGGCCCAGUGCCCGCAGUGCCACCCCAAUCUCGCCACCCCCUUCUCUUCAUCCUCCUGGGGCCCCUACAGUGCCCAGACUGAGGCUCUGGGAAUGGGGGAGGGAGCUUAGCCACAGGGGGCAACCAGGUAGGGGAGGAAGGGGGAAGAGGACAUUCUGAGGACAUACGACUUUCUAAGCAAGCCAAUUUAAGUGACUAUCAAGGAUGCUAAACAUAGAGGUUUCAAUCUUGGCCCAAAUUACUAUGUUGCUUUUUUUGUGUGAACAUUUUUCCAUUACUUCCACAUUUUCAGAAAUUCCACAUCUAAAUGUGUCAGAAAAUUAAAGAAGACGAAUUCCACGCCAGAGCUGGAAAAGGCCUUUGACACAUCCAGAUCAGAUGGAGCCUCUCCAUCUCACAGGUGAGGCAGACUCCACCCAUGUCAGCUCCUGGCUAGGAUCUACUUGGGAGGGGGCAGCGAGAGUUUGAGGGCUGGCUAUUGCCUGCUCUAGGCUGACCCUGAGAGCUUGGGGCUUCCCGAGGCCUGAAUUGGCUGAAGGAGGCGGUACUUCCCAGAACCAGGCAGGCCCUGGGGGAGGGAGCACCAGGGGACCAGGACACAGCUGUAGGGGCAGGGAUGAAAGGUUGUCAGGGUCAGUCGAGCCAAGGUCAUCCAGAGAGCUGGGGCACCUGCAAAGAACAUCACAUAAGAAGUCACUUCCCUGUUGUGGAUACCCCCUCUCCCCGGAGAGCCUCUGCACUGGUCACUCAGUUUACCUCAACUGUCCUUCUACGUCCCUCUGCCCCCACACAGAGUCUCACAGCCCCCACACCCCAGGCCUCGCCUCUCAGAACAGAUUCUGCAUCCACACCCACCUCCUCCAUGGCCUGCAAACCCAUAACCCUGGCUGGGCCUGGGAAAAGCACUGCGAGGACCCUGGUUUCUGUCCAUCCCCGGGGGUAGCACACCACCAGGCAGGUAGGGAGUAGGUGCCCAGAACUGUUUAUUUAUUUUUUGCUGAAUAAAUGAAUGCCCGAAUCCAAAUGCAAACUUCUGAUGCUCCGCCUAUUCUCUU